rnacentral:rRNA from 1 species
UCAGUAACGGCGAGUGAAGCGGUAACAGCUCAAAUUUGAAAUCUGGCCGCAAGGUCCGAGUUGUAAUUUGUAGAGGAUGUUUCGAGCAUGGUCUGGCCUAAGUUCCUUGGAACAGGACGUCAUAGAGGGUGAGAAUCCCGUAUGCGGUCAGGUGCCUACGCUCAUGUGAAACUCCUUCGACGAGUCGAGUUGUUUGGGAAUGCAGCUCAAAAUGGGUGGUAAAUUUCAUCUAAAGCUAAAUAUUGGCCAGAGACCGAUAGCGCACAAGUAGAGUGAUCGAAAGAUGAAAAGCACUUUGGAAAGAGAGUUAAACAGUACGUGAAAUUGUUGAAAGGGAAGCGCUUGCAACCAGACUUGCGCGCGGCUGAUCAUCCGGGCUUCUGCCCGGUGCACUCGGUCGCGCUCAGGCCAGCAUCGGUUUUGGUGGC